rnacentral:rRNA from 1 species
UACACUCCUGCGGGAGGCAGCAGUGGGGAAUUUUGGACAAUGGGCGAAAGCCUGAUCCAGCAAUGCCGCGUGAGUGAAGAAGGCCUUCGGGUUGUAAAGCUCUUUUGUCAGGGAAGAAACGGUGAAAGCUAAUAUCUUUUGCUAAUGACGGUACCUGAAGAAUAAGCACCGGCUAACUACGUGCCAGCAGCCGCGGUAAUACGUAGGGUGCAAGCGUUAAUCGGAAUUACUGGGCGUAAAGCGUGCGCAGGCGGUUUUGUAAGUCUGAUGUGAAAUCCCCGGGCUCAACCUGGGAAUUGCAUUGGAGACUGCAAGGCUAGAAUCUGGCAGAGGGGGGUAGAAUUCCACGUGUAGCAGUGAAAUGCGUAGAUAUGUGGAGGAACACCGAUGGCGAAGGCAGCCCCCUGGGUCAAGAUUGACGCUCAUGCACGAAAGCGUGGGGAGCAAACAGGAUUAGAUACCCGUGUAGUCC